AUUGAACGCUGGCGGCAUGCCUUACACAUGCAAGUCGAACGGCAGCGGACCUUCGGGUGCCGGCGAGUGGCGAACGGGUGAGUAAUAUAUCGGAACGUACCUUUCAGUGGGGGAUAACGUAGCGAAAGUUACGCUAAUACCGCAUAUUCUGUGAGCAGGGAAGCAGGGGAUCGCAAGACCUUGCGCUGAUUGAGCGGCCGAUAUCAGAUUAGCUAGUUGGUGAGGUAAAGGCUCACCAAGGCGACGAUCUGUAGCGGGUCUGAGAGGAUGAUCCGCCACACUGGAACUGAGACACGGUCCAGACUCCUACGGAGGCAGCAGUGGGGAAUUUUGGACAAUGGGCGCAAGCCUGAUCCAGCCAUGCCGCGUGAGCGAUGAAGGCCUUCGGGUCGUAAGACUCUGUGGGAGGAGAAGAAUAAAGACC
rnacentral:rRNA from 1 species